rnacentral:tRNA from 1 species
GGCCAGGUAGCUCAGUUGGUAGAGCAGCGGACUGAAAAUCCGCGUGUCGGCGGUUCAACUCCGUCCCUGGCCACCA